UGGAUCCAGACUUUGAUCCUGGCUCAGGAUGAACGCUAGCUACAGGCUUAACACAUGCAAGUCGAGGGGAAACGACAUCGAAAGCUUGCUUUUGAUGGGCGCCGACCGGCGCACGGGUGAGUAACGCGUAUCCAACCUGCCCACCACUUGGGGAUAACCUUGCGAAAGUAAGACUAAUACCCAAUGAUAUCUCUAGAAGACAUCUGAAAGAGAUUAAAGAUUUAUCGGUGAUGGAUGGGGAUGCGUCUGAUUAGCUUGUUGGCGGGGUAACGGCCCACCAAGGCUACGAUCAGUAGGGGUUCUGAGAGGAAGGUCCCCCACAUUGGAACUGAGACACGGUCCAAACUCCUACGGGAGGCAGCAGUGAGGAAUAUUGGUCAAUGGACGAGAGUCUGAACCAGCCAAGUAGCGUGCAGGAUGACGGCCCUAUGGGUUGUAAACUGCUUUUAUAAGGGAAUAAAGUUAGUCUCGUGAGACUUUUUGCAUGUACCUUAUGAAUAAGGACCGGCUAAUUCCGUGCCAGCAGCCGCGGUAAUACGGAAGGUCCGGGCGUUAUCCGGAUUUAUUGGGUUUAAAGGGAGCGUAGGCCGGAGAUUAAGCGUGUUGUGAAAUGUAGAUGCUCAACAUCUGCACUGCAGCGCGAACUGGUUUCCUUGAGUACGCACAAAGUGGGCGGAAUUCGUGGUGUAGCGGUGAAAUGCUUAGAUAUCACGAAGAACUCCGAUUGCGAAGGCAGCUCACUGGAGCGCAACUGACGCUGAAGCUCGGAAGUGCGGGUAUCGAACAGGAUUAGAUACCCUGGUAGUCCGCACGGUAAACGAUGGAUGCCCGCUGUUGGUCUGAAUAGGUCAGCGGCCAAGCGAAAGCAUUAAGCAUCCCACCUGGGGAGUACGCCGGCAACGGUGCAACUCAAAUGAAUUGACGGA
rnacentral:rRNA from 1 species